UACAAAUCACGCUUAGAUAUUAGUAUAUCUAGUAUAAAUUACACCUAAUUUGACCCGCAUAUACCUAGGGGUGGCAAGUUUCGAGCAGGCAACCUGAAGGGCGAAAAGUGAUAAAAUUAUCAGAUGAAGUGUUCUUGCGUGACAUACUAUAACUUAACUAAUGUUGCAUCUGUUAGUGGUAGUGCCCCAAUCUGUUGUUUCAUUGGUGUUUGAAUUUGAGAUCUCACGAUACUAGACGCACUUCAUUAAUAACUAACUAAGCCCCAGUCUUGGGCUCAACAAAAAAUGUUACUCCUCAAUCCAGCUCAUAAUCUUGUGCGAGCUGUAAUCAAGUAAAAAAGCUUUAUGUAUAGAGUCAUUGAUUAAACAGAAGAAACAAUUAAUGAAUUAGUAGAGGCAUCCCAUCAACUUAAUUAGAAUACAAUUAUGAAAUGAGAAUAUAUCUUAUGCUCUUUAACCAAAGUUUAGAAGAACCUUUUUUUUUUAUGAAUGUAAACAUAUCUUAUACACUUUUUUCUUUCACUUUAUAUAGGUUGUUACUUUUCGAAAUGUUGUUUCUUCUCUGGACAUAUUUAAGGAGAGAUGUACGAAAGAAUCGUCACUAGCCUGAGAACAGUAGUAGGAGAUACGAAGGAGUUCCCAUAACAAUGGAUUUACACCGAGGAUCAGCUUCGAAAUACUACUUGUUUACCCGAGUUAUGGAUGAGCUAACCAACAAAAUACAAGACAAAGUCUCAUUUACUAAGGAUAUUGUCUUAAUUGACAAAUUCAAGAAAGGUAUCAAUCAAGAGCUUGAACUCAUGUCGAGCUGGAUGCAUGUACUUGAGCAACCUUUUCGACCAGUUUUUUGGAUGCUGCGUGGAAAUAUGAAAGACGAACUGCUGAGAUAGUGAUAGAAAGAAACCACAGUACAGUUAGCAGCAGUACAAUAGCUGUGUUGGUCGAAAGAAUUGAUUGCAUUUUGUGAAGAAAAAAAGAAUUCUGAGGUAGACAACUGUUGAACUGAACUGUAGUUCAUAUUAGUCCACGUAGUUCAAAAUUGGAGUGAAUUGAAGAAAGCAUAAGAGGGCUGGGGACAAGGGGCCAGCUGGGAAGAUAGCAAAAAUGUUACUAUCAUGGCAACUUAAUAUCUAUCCAAAGUACAUUGUACCAAGCUGAUUAUUUAUGUACCUGAACCUGUAAAUGCCUCGUUUCUUGUAUUCUUACCAUUCAAAUCUUUACUAUCUAAUAAAUAUACAUCUUUGGUGAACAGUCCUUUUCUCCUUCCCAACUUUCUGUGGUUUCAACCCUAGCCACAUUAGUGCAUACACACUGUAUGGUACCAAUAACAAUGUAUGCAGUGUAAUAGUGUGUACGCAGACUUUACCCCUACCUUGGAAGGGAGAGGUUUCCGAUACACACUAUAUGGUACCAUACAGUGGAGGUGGGGUAUGAAUUAGAGAAUGGGGUUUUUGGUUCAAUAGUAAGGGAAUUAAGUGCAUGUCAUGAAUUUGAAUCAUGCAUCGGAUUAGAAUUUUGAAUCGUGUACGAAUUGGCUUUCAAGAGUUUCUGAAUUAUACUUGAGAAAACAAGCGGAAAAAUAGAAGAAAAGGACAGAGGAAGUACAAGACAAUUCCAUUUUCACUCGACAAUCCACGGAAGAGAACAAUGUCAAAAUGAAAAUGUAAACUGGAUAAAUAGAAUUGGUUACUGGCAAUCCAUGUUCCCAAAGACCCCUUCAACAGUGACAUUUCUAUUGUGUCCCUUUGUGGGGAGGACAAAUUGGAUAACCCAAAAAUAGCUUGUCAAAUGAGAAAAUAAAGGCGGACACGGUAGUCAGAUACUAUAAAUAGGAGAUUCCAAUUCUUUUGGAAAUAUCACUUAGAACUUUCACAAUAGAAAAACAAAAACUUGCACUUUUCUCAACAUAUUUUAGCAAGAAUGAGCAAGAAAAGCCAAAAAACAGAAGUGAUAUGUGGGGACUAUUUUGCCAAGGUCAAGAAGAUCAUGAAGCUUUUUGAAAAGACGUUUCUCCACAACAUCAGCAACUGGAAGAAAUGGAAAGGUCAAGUUACAACUUCAACAAAGAAAGGGCACUUCUCGGUGCUCGCUCUGGGGGUGAAUGCAGAGCCAAGGAAAUUCUCAUUGGCUUUAGAUUAUCUUUCUCAUCCUACUUUUAUCAAGUUACUAGAAGAAGCAGAAAGAGAAUUUGGAUAUUACCAGCAAGGCGUGAUAGUCAUACCAUGUGAAGCCAGUGAGAUCCAAAGACUUCUUUUACGCUGAGAUUGCCAUACAAUGCUGCAGUACAUAGGAGUUAAGAACCGUGUGCAACUAAAUGAAAAUAAGUACAGAAGGGUUUGAGGUACCGAAAAGUAAAAAAAUUGAUAACUACAAUGCACAUUGCAUGUAUGUGAGUUUGUGUUGCAUGAUUGUUUCAAAUAAACAAAAUGCAAAAACCAUGUAAGACUUGGAUGAAUCUAAAUCAUUAUUUGCAACUUUAAUCCUCGACCAUAUCAGCUGUAAACUGAAAUGGGGCUGCCAGACCCUGAAUUUUCCAUUAGACGCGUUGAAAGCAAAAUAUUUGUAGGAAAUUUAAUAUAGCUAACAGUAGAUCAUAGAAAAGGAACACACUUAGUUUUCUACCCUUCUGGCUUCACACCAAAUGCAUUUUGUUGGUGAUUAAAUUGUGGUUUGAGUAAAAACUUGGAGCUUCAUGUUUUGUGGUAAUAAACUGAAUUUAGCCUAUCUUAGGCUUUGUGUAGAUUGUUGCCUCAUUGAGUUUCACAAAUCAGUUGAGUAGGCAACUAAAACCAAUCACUAUAAUUCUAUAGAAAUAGUACAGUGACAUUAACUGGUGUAUUGAUAAGGCACUGAAUGAGAUAGAGUGCAGAGGGUGUCAAUAACGAAAUCAACAAAAGUAGUCAGUCAGUCAAGAAUGACACUGAAUCGUGAUUUAUAAACAACAUAAGAAAAGCCCUUCAAACGAAAUAUAUCAGAAAGAUUAUUCUGUCCAAGGAAAACUAGGAAGUCCAAUGAACCAUUUAUUCAGAAGCAGACAGUGGCAGAUAAGGCUGGUAGAUGUUUUGCACAAAAGAUCAUCUCUUAACCAUAAAGUAGUAAAUAUUACCAGUGUACAACCACAAUUUUAGGGCCUGAAUAACAAUAGCAUGAUUGAAAAUGUCUUUCUGCAGCAGAAAUCGGACGCAGUUCACAGUUGAUCAAAAAAUCUAAGUACUAUAACAUAUAAAAGCAUCCCGAUUAUUACAAAUGAUGCACCUAGUCUAGAUAUCCAGCAACAGUAACUGAGAGCACACAGAAUGGGAUAGAAAUCAGUUGAAUAAAACCAUUAGAAAUAUAUUCACGUUGCAGAAUUCAUUGCUGUUAAUACUUCAAAUACAAAAGAGGAAAGAGAUUAAAACUUCACAAGGUUUGAGAGAACACCACAAACAAUUAGCCUGGACAAGGCAACUUCAGCAAUUUAAUGAUGACAAAGGUUGUAAGGUUUGCAAGAAAUGCCAUAAGUAUAUUUUCUUCCGCAAAAUUAAUUGACGAUACUAGUGCCGCUGACAAAAGCAUAAUGAAGAAUCAAAUUAUCACUAUAUUUAUUAAUAUUCUUACUUCUUCCAGUUGGAUAACUCCAAGUGGCUGUGGGAUAUUUCUACCAAUUGGAGCUCUUGCCCAUGGGGAUGGUCUACACUGUUCAUAGUUGUCCUCUUACUACAAGUCGCUUACCUAGGCAAUGCUUAGACCCACUCAACCCGAACUUUUUUGGUUCAGUUCACCUGUACAUUCCCCAAUUGUCUGAUUGUUGCUAAGCAGUUUUGGGAUAUCAAACGGACCUCCCUCGGAAGCAUUUUAACAUUCCCCCUUUUGCAAUAAAUUUCGUCAGCACAUGUUGCUCUAGCUAAUUGUCCUAAGAAAUAUUUGAUUUGCAGAAAUAUUUACCACUUAUUAAACAAACUAUACCAUCACCUUAGAUCAACGAAUGGAGGAGUUUUACUCAUUGCCCACUAUACUUCAUUCCAGUUUCAUGAAUACAAUAGAACCCAAAAACUCUUUCUGUGAUCUAAGUGAUCACUGAUGAUCAUCAAGUAGCUAUGAUCUUGUCAAAUUUAAAACACAAGUUAAGCACCUACUAGAUUGGCAUAAUGACACUGGAAACAAUCGCCUAUAUCUGUUUAAUAGAAGCAGCAAGUGGUAGACUCGUGAAUCCAAAUUACAAGGUUAUCAAAACUGUGAAUGAACAGGCAGAAGGAGGGAAAACCAUAGGCAUUCAUGAAGAGUAGAUGACAGGGAUCAGUAUCAUAAGAGAAGCAUCAUAUUAUGUUGUACUCACAUCUCCUAAGGAAAAAAUGACUCAGUUUCAUGGGGAGACAUGGAUUCAGUUAUAAUCGCGAGGGUGGGGGGUAGGGGGAUGGCAGUCUGGCAGAAUUACAGUUAUACUAUUCCAAGCUGCACACUUCAGGAUGUUUAAAUGACAAGUUAAAUCAUUUGACAUGAGAAAGCCAAACACUAAGCUAUAAGUAAAAUGGCACAUCAACUUUUUUGAAGUAUAGAUAUUAUUAGUUGCAAUUUUGGUACUCAAAUUAGUGUUUCAUCUAUUCUUAGUCCACAAAUUAUUCUUGUCCCCAGUUUUACUUCCAAUUUGCAUGAAAAAGAAAAAGAAUCACAGUCAAUGACCUUAAAAAUUACAUGAUUCCGUUAGAAAUCCUUGAUAGUUUCCAUUUUUAUUCAUACUUCCUCCUUUUUCAUUUGUUUGAUAAGAUAAGGGAACAGAUCAGUAAUUGGAGAAUUAAACAACUAACCUCCAAAAAUGCUUUGCGCUACAUCAGACUUCAUCAUAGACUUGUGGCAUUCACAGGACAACUAUAGUUUGUCUGACUUCUAUCUAGCCUAGUUAAGUGUUGAUCUUCCUAACAGAAUAUGAAAGAACCCAUCAAGCAAGCCAUUCCAUCAACAAAUUUACAACUGAGUCAACUCCUGCUGGUUUUCCAUAGCUUGCCUAAGUAUCAGGUUUGCUCUCCUCUUCUUGUCAUUUUUCUCUUCAUCCCGCCUGAACCCCGAUGCUCUCUCUGAGAACUCUUGUUCUUAAGUCUCGGACCCAAAGAACCGCACAAGACUUUCUUACGGUCUUACCAGAUCUACACUCUAAACAUACAGCAUGCUUCUUAUCAGGAGGUUUUUCUCCAUGUCAUAUCCAGUUUCAGAAGGAUCAUCCUUCAUUGUCUCGAUUGCAGCAGAAAACAACUCCAGCAAAAAAAACAUGGAUUUUGUCCAUUUCAUUGUAAAGUUUAGCUCCAAUAGGAACUGCAGCCUAUAUCUUUUUCUCCCUUCCUUUGCUGUCUUUGGUAACUCAAUUUUACCAGCUUAAGGAUCAGAUACCCUCUCAUUCUAUGCAAAUGUGUGUAUGCAAGUAAACCGAUCAGGAAAUGAAGGCAGCCAUAAAGGUAAUCCUCUUGAGCUAAUUUCACAAACUCAACAAUAUCCGUGAUAAUACAAGAAUCCAAAUCCACAAUGAUUCACCUCUAAUGCACCUAUGAUCACAUAUGGACUUCACCAUUGAAAACCUUCAAUUCUAAACAUUUUCACAUAUCUGUACCACCGCAAUUCUCAAUAUUUUACCUUAAUUAAAAAAACCUAACUUUUCAGCUCAAACUUUGAGUUACUUAUACAACACAGAGUACCACUAACAAAAAACCUAAUUUGCAAUUGAAACACAAAAAGAAUCAAAAACUUAUUCAACAAACAAAAUACAAACCUGGAAAUCCCUCAAUUUUACGGUAUACACACAGAUUCGGGCCGGCGGAGUAAAUUGAAUUCCAAAAAAUGCAACAACUUUGAGAGCAAAAGAGAGAAGAUAUGUAAUUGCUGCAAAGAGGGAAGAUUAUCG
rnacentral:lncRNA from 1 species